AUUGAACGCUGGCGGCAUGCUUUACACAUGCAAGUCGAACGGUAACAGCACUUCGGUGGCUGACGAGUGGCGAACGGGUGAGUAAUACAUCGGAACGUGCCUAGUAGUGGGGGAUAACUACUCGAAAGAGUAGCUAAUACCGCAUGAGAUCUAAGGAUGAAAGCAGGGGACCUUCGGGCCUUGCGCUACUAGAGCGGCUGAUGGCAGAUUAGGUAGUUGGUGGGAUAAAAGCUUACCAAGCCGACGAUCUGUAGCUGGUCUGAGAGGACGACCAGCCACACUGGGACUGAGACACGGCCCAGACUCCUACGGGAGGCAGCAGUGGGGAAUUUUGGACAAUGGGCGCAAGCCUGAUCCAGCAAUGCCGCGUGCAGGAUGAAGGCCUUCGGGUUGUAAACUGCUUUUGUAAGGAACGAAAAGCCCUCUUCUAAUACAGGAGGGUCAUGACGGUACCGUAAGAAUAAGCACCGGCUAACUACGUG
rnacentral:rRNA from 1 species